AUUGAACGCUGGCGGCAGGCCUAACACAUGCAAGUCGAACGAGUGGCGGACGGGUGAGUAAUAUCUGGGAAACUGCCUGAUGGAGGGGGAUAACUACUGGAAACGGUAGCUAAUACCGCAUACCAUCGGAUCUGCCCAGAUGGGAUUAGCUAGUAGGUGGGGUAAAGGCUCACCAAGGCGACGAUCCCUAGCUGGUUUGAGAGGAUGACCAGCCACACUGGAACUGAGACACGGCCCAGACUCCUACGGGAGGCAGCAGUGGGGAAUAUUGCACAAUGGGCGAAAGCCUGAUGCAGCCAUCCCGCGUGUAUGAAGAAGGCCUUCGGGUUGUAAAGUACUUUUAGCAGGGAAGCGUUACCCGCAGAAGAAGCACCGGCUAACUACGUGCCAGCAGCCGCGGUAAUAC
rnacentral:rRNA from 1 species